UACGUAGGAGGCAAGCGUUGUCCGGAAUACUGGCGUAAAGCGCGUGUAGGUGGUGGGACAAGUCUGCUGUGAAAGCGCCUGGCUUAACCGGGCGAGGUCGGCGGAAACUGUUCGACUCGAGGACGGUAGAGGGGGUGGAAUUCCCGGUGUAGUGGUGAAAUGCGUAGAGAUCGGGAGGAACACCUGUGGCGAAGGCGGCCCCCUGGGCCCGGCCUGACACUGAGACGCGAAGGCGUGGGGGAGCGAACGGG
rnacentral:rRNA from 1 species